ACAACAGAAAUCACGCUGGACGACCGCCAGCACCCUCCGCCUCCCAAGGUCUCACAAGGCCUCACCAGGCCCCACUCACCCACACGGCAGAACCAACAGCGGGGAACCCGCACCUCCAGAGCUACCAGAAGGGAAUAGAGCAAAGGCCUCUCCUCCCUUCUUCUUUAUACCCCUGGCUUAUGUAAAAAUCGUAGGGAAUACUGGGUAUUAUGGCCACUUCCUUGGUUGCAAACUGGUCACCAAGGAAGGCCUAGACUAAAACUACCACAGCUUCCUGUUUCUACUUUAUUCUCCCCCUUCAAUACAGCUUUCUCUAGGUACAAAACCUGAGUGUGACCACUCUUAUGAAAAUUCUGGUUUUGCCUGGGGAAAGGAGGGUGUCUGUGUUGUGUCAUGAUCCAUUGGAGAACUAUGGAUGACAGGUACUGGAAGCCGAACUUCUACAGUGUAAACCAUGAGGUAUAUGCAUCAACCUUGACUUGCAGCACCACUUCAAAAGACCAAGAAGCUGCUGCAGAGGGACCUGAGAGCCAGCUGUAGAGGACAACACAGUCUGUAAUGCUUUCGGAUAAUAAGCAGAUUGUAGCUCCACAAUUCCAACAAAGAAACACAAGCAGUAUGGAUGUACAAUUUUGCCACAGAGCAUUUGCAGGA